rnacentral:tRNA from 1 species
AGCGGAGUGGAGCAGUGGUAGCUUGUCGGGCUCAUAACCCGAAGGUCGCGUGUUCGACUCACGCCUCCGCUACAA